rnacentral:sRNA from 1 species
AGUGUCGCUCCCCCGGAGAGGUGAAGGCGCAGGCAGCUCCCUGAGUGGUGGGGCUCCUCUGGGUGCCACCUCUUGCUGGGCCAAGUCUGCAGACCAGGGACUCAUGAGCUCGUCUCCGCAGGAGCACGCGGCGAUGCUGAGUUUCAUCAAAUAGGACGCAGCAGAAGUCGGGAAGCACUGCAGAAGAUGGGUUGUCUUCCAGAAAGACCAUUGUUUUGGGGAACAGCUUGGCUCUUUCUUCGGCCGCUGGUGGUUGGAUUAGCUGUUGGAGGGAUGUGCAGGACUGAAUGGCUAGUACUGAUGGUUUCACGGCUGUCUCUGCAGGCAGGGUCCCUGGGCUGCCCUCUUUGUGAGGACCAUGUGUGGACGUGUGCUCCCCGCAGUGCUCACCCGGCUCUGCCAGCUGCUCCGUCACCAGGGCCCGAGCCUGAGUGCCCCACAUGUGCUGGGGUUGGCUGCCCUGGCCGUGCACCUGGGUGAGUCCAGGUCUGCGCUCCCAGAGGUGGAUGUGGGUCCUCCUGCACCUGA